rnacentral:rRNA from 1 species
AGGUGCUGCAUGGCUGUCGUCAGGCUCGUGUCGUGAGAUGUUGGGUUAAGUCCCGUAACGAGCGCAACCCUUGUCCUAGUUACCAGCACGUUAUGGUGGGCACUCUAAGGAGACUGCCGGUGACAAACCGGAGGAAGGUGGGGAAGUGACGUCAAGUCAUCAUGGCCCUUACGGCCUGGGCUACACACGUGCUACAAUGGUCGGUACAAAGGGUUGCCAAGCCGCGAGGUGGAGCUAAUCCCAUAAAACCGAUCGUAGUCCGGAUCGCAGUCUGCAACUCGACUGCGUGAAGUCGGAAUCGCUAGUAAUCGUGAAUCAGAAUGUCACGGUGAAUACGUUCCCGGGCCUU